rnacentral:antisense_RNA from 1 species
ACUGCAAGCUCUGCCUCCCGGGUUCACGCCAUUCUCCUGCCUCAGCCUCCCGAGUAGCUGGGACUACAGGUGCCCGCCACCAUGCCCGGCUAAUUUUUUGUAUUUUUAGUAGAGACAGGGUUUCACCGUGUUAGCCAGGAUGGUCUUGAUCUCCUGACCUUGUGAUCUGCCUGCCUUGGCCUCCCAAAGUGCUGGGAUUACAGGCUUGAGCCACCACGCCCGGUCUACCAGCUCACCAGGCUCAGGCUGGAAACCAUCCAAAGCGCAAUCCCUGACCUCAGGCAGCUCACAGUCCAGUGGGG